AGGUAAGCUACUAAGAGCGAAUGGUGGAUGCCUUGACUGGUAAAGGCGAUGAAGGACGUACUAGACUGCGAUAAGCUACGGGGAGCUGUCAAGAAGCUUUGAUCCGUAGAUUUCCGAAUGGGGCAACCCAAUGUAUAGAGAUAUACAUUACCUAUAUAGGAGCGAACGAGGGGA
rnacentral:rRNA from 1 species